rnacentral:rRNA from 1 species
AAAUUGAAGAGUUUGAUCAUGGCUCAGAUUGAACGCUGGCGGCAGGCCUAACACAUGCAAGUCGAACGGUAACAGGAAUCAGCUUGCUGAUUCGCUGACGAGUGGCGGACGGGUGAGUAAUGUCUGGGAAACUGCCUGAUGGAGGGGGAUAACUACUGGAAACGGUAGCUAAUACCGCAUAACGUCGCAAGACCAA